rnacentral:lncRNA from 1 species
UAUAUAUACUUCAUCCGCUCUGCCAAAAUUUGUAAUCCCUAGUGACCGAACAUCCACACUGCUCCAGCUGAUCCAUCCAUACCACCUCACUUGCUAUCAGUGAAAUCAGCAUCGAUUACAUCACCAUUGUCGGGCCCCUUGGUAGAUGGUCCAGCAGAUCCAGCAUCGGCUCCAGGAGCAGAACCCGGGCCAGCUGCACCAGGCUGGUUAUAAAGCGAUUGCCCGAGCUGCAUCACCUCCUGGUUCAGGGCUGCCAUUGUGUCCUUCAUGCUUUGGGUUGAUCCACCAGCAACAGCAUCCUUGAGGUCCUUCAGCUUUGCUUCCACCUUUUCCUUGACUUCGGCAGGUACCUUGUCUCCGAGCUCCUUCAGUUGCUUUUCGGUCUGAUAAAUCACAGACUCAGACUGGUUCUUUGUAUCAAUGUCGUCCCUCUUCUCCUUGUCCUCUUUGGCAA